UACGUAGGGGGCGAGCGUUGUCCGGAAUCAUUGGGCGUAAAGCGCGUGUAGGCGGCUCGGUAAGUCUGCUGUGAAAGCCCCGGGCUCAACCUGGGAAUUGCAUUCGAGACUGCAUUGCUGGAGUACGGAAGAGGAAGGCGGAAUUCCCGGUGUAGCGGUGAAAUUCGUAGAUAUUCGCAAGAACACCAGUGGCGAAGGCGGCUUACUGGUCCGGAUCUGACGCUGAGGCGCGAAAGCGUGGGGAGCAAACAGG
rnacentral:rRNA from 1 species